UACGGAGGGAGCUAGCGUUGUUCGGAAUUACUGGGCGUAAAGCGUGCGCAGGCGGUUUUGUAAGUCUGACGUGAAAUCCCCGGGCUCAACCUGGGAAUUGCGUUGGAGACUGCAAGGCUGGAGUCUGGCAGAGGGGGGUAGAAUUCCACGUGUAGCAGUGAAAUGCGUGAGAGAUGUGGAGGAACACCGAUGGCGAAGGCAGCCCCCUGGGUCAAGACUGACGCUCAUGCACGAAAGCGUGGGGAGCAAACAGG
rnacentral:rRNA from 1 species